AGUUAAAAAGCUCGUAGUUGGAUUUCGGAACCGGCCGAUUGGUCCGUCCUCUGGAUCGUGUACUGAUCGGUCUGUUCUUCUUCGCGAAGACCGCGUGUGCUCUUAACUGAGUGGGCGUGGGAUUCGCGACGUUUACUUUGAAAAAAUUAGAGUGUUCAAAGCAGGCAGUCGCUUGAAUAUCUCAGCAUGGAAUAACAGAAUAGGACUUUGGUCUUAUUUUGUUGGUUUCCGAGACCGAAGUAAUGAUUAAUAGGGACAGUUGGGGGCAUUCGUAUUUCAUUGUCAGAGGUGAAAUUCUUGGAUUUAUGGAAGACGAACUUCUGCGAAAGCAUUUGCCAAGGAUGUUUUCAUUAAUCAAGAACGAAAGUUGGAGGCUCGAAGACGAUCAGAUACCGUCCUAGUUCCAACCAUAAACGAUGCCGUCUGCGGAUCGGAGGUCGCUCAUGUAAGGCUCCUUCGGCACGCUAUGAGAAAUCAAAGACUUCGGGUUCCGGGGGGAGUAUGUUCGCAAGAAUGAAACUUAAAGGAAUUGACGGAAGGGCACCACCAGGAGUGGAACCUGCGGUUUAAUUUGACUCAACAC
rnacentral:rRNA from 1 species